rnacentral:rRNA from 1 species
GUGUCAGCAGCCGCGGUAAUACGAAGGGGGCUAGCGUUGCUCGGAAUCACUGGGCGUAAAGGGCGCGUAGGCGGCCAGAUCAGUCAGGCGUGAAAGCCCUGGGCUCAACCUGGGGACUGCGCUUGAGACGGUUUGGCUUGAGGGUGGAAGAGGCUCGCGGAAUUCCCAGUGUAGAGGUGAAAUUCGUAGAUAUUGGGAAGAACACCGGUGGCGAAGGCGGCGAGCUGGUCCAUCACUGACGCUGAGGCGCGACAGCGUGGGGAGCAAACAGGAUUAGAUACCCUGGUAGUCC